UUGGAGAAUAAAGAGCCAGAUGGUCAGGAU
rnacentral:piRNA from 1 species